AUUGAACGCUGGCGGCAGGCCUAACACAUGCAAGUAGAACGAGUGGCGGACGGGUGAGUAAUGUCUGGGAAACUGCCUGAUGGAGGGGGAUCACUACUGGAAAAGGUAGCUAAUACCGCAUACCAUCGGAUGUGCCCAGAUGGGAUUAGCUAGUAGGUGGGGUAACGGCUCACCUAGGCGACGAUCCCUAGCUGGUCUGAGAGGAUGAGCAGCCACACCGGAACUGAGAAACGGUCCAGACUCCUACGGGAGGCAGCAGUGGGUAAUAUUGCACAAGGGGCGCAAGCUUGAUGCAGCCAUGCCGCGUGUAUGAAGAAGGCCUUCGGGUUUUAAAGUACUUUCAGCGGGGAGGCGUUACCCGCAGAAGAAGCACCGGCUAACUCCGUGCCAGCAGCCGCGGUAAUUC
rnacentral:rRNA from 1 species